GCACAAGCGGUGGAGCAUGUGGCUUAAUUCGACGCAACGCGAAGAACCUUACCAAGGCUUGACAUACACCGGAAACGGCCAGAGAUGGUCGCCCCCUUGUGGUCGGUGUACAGGUGGUGCAUGGCUGUCGUCAGCUCGUGUCGUGAGAUGUUGGGUUAAGUCCCGCAACGAGCGCAACCCUUGUCCUGUGUUGCCAGCAUGCCCUUCGGGGUGAUGGGGACUCACAGGAGACUGCCGGGGUCAACUCGGAGGAAGGUGGGGACGACGUCAAGUCAUCAUGCCCCUUAUGUCUUGGGCUGCACACGUGCUACAAUGGCAGGUACAAUGAGCUGCGAAGCCGUGAGGCGGAGCGAAUCUCAAAAAGCCUGUCUCAGUUCGGAUUGGGGUCUGCAACUCGACCCCAUGAAGUCGGAGUUGCUAGUAAUCGCAGAUCAGCAUUGCUGCGGUGAAUACGUUCCCGGGC
rnacentral:rRNA from 1 species